GCCUCCCUCCUUGUCUACUAUUAGGUUGGAAAAGCGCCAGAAACUACCCAGAAAACACUGCGAAUUUAACGUCAUAGUGAGGGCUAACAGUGUGUCCCUGGGAUUUCUGCCACUUAUUUCAAUUUGUAAAAAUGUACAAAGCAAUUUUGGAGAUGGCAAUUAGUAUGCUCAAGCUAUCAUCCCCGCUCCACCUCCAAAACGUUGAUUGUUUAUACACCUAUCGUUCCGCUUACCUCUCCUAAGGGAAAUAAACAUUUUCCUCUCAUUCAAAAGGAAAGGAAUAAAUCAAAAAGAAAAAAAAAAUGAAAUCUUA